GACGAACGCUGGCGGCGUGCCUAAUACAUGCAAGUCGAGCGGGGAUUAUGCUUGAUCGCUUCGGUGAGACGGCAGAUAUCCUAGCGGCGGACGGGUGAGUAACGCGUGGGUAAUCUACCUCGUAGUUCGGGAUAACAGGCCGAAAGGCUUGCUAAUACCGGAUGAGUUCAUGCUUAUGCAUAUAGGCAUGAAGAAAGGGCUAGCCCGCUAUGAGAUGAGCCCGCGUCCCAUUAGCUUGUUGGUGGGGUAAUGGCCUACCAAGGCAACGAUGGGUAGCCGGCCUGAGAGGGUGUACGGCCACACUGGGACUGAGACACGGCCCAGACUCCUACGGGGGGCAGCAGUAGGGAAUUUUCGGCAAUGGGCGAAAGCCUGACCGAGCGACGCCGCGUGAGGGACGAAGGCCUUCGGGUUGUAAACCUCUGUCUGGGGGGAUGAGAACGGACGGUACCCCCGGAGGAAGCCCCGGCUAACUACGUGCCAGCAGCCCGCGGUAAUACGUAGGGGGCUAGCGUUGUCCGGAAUUACUGGGCGUAAAGGGCGUGUAGGCGGUCGUGCCAAGUCGGUUGUGAAAGUCUAAGGC
rnacentral:rRNA from 1 species